AAUAGUUGGUGUGCACUUAUAGUUGACUUCCAAAGGAUUCAUUUGCAAAAGAUUUAAGAGGAUUUAGACAAUGUUUACAGUUCCUAUUUAUGAAGGAGUUACUCAUAUGUGUCUAUUUUUAGAUGUGUUUUUCUCUCUAAAUGAGUUAUGUGUGCUAUUUGUUUCAAGUGACUUUAAAGUAUCCUAUGAUGGUUCUCAAAUCUGAGCCUCAAUCAGAGGCUCUGCAAGAAAACGCUGAAACAGGUUGCUAGGGCACACCCAGAGUCUCUGGUUUGGUAGUUAUGGGAGGAGUCUAAGGAGUUCCACAUCUAAGUAGGUACUGUGUGUUGUUUAUAAGGAGUGCUAUGGUUUGGGUUAAAUGUGAGUCAGGAUCUUUUCUUAUUUUUACCAUCUCGAUUAUUUUGUCAAAGUACAGAAAACAAACAGUGCUAGCAGCUAUCCAUUAGUUCAGUAUGUUUUACUCUUAUAAUUCUUGAAUAUUUAACACAUUGUUGUUUAAAAGUGUAUCCUGUUGUGGUGGACACAGAUGAUGCCAACAGACUUUCGUGCCUGUAGGGGCCAAAACCAAUCGGGAGCUGCCAGCCCCACCUGGACCUGAGUCAGUGGUGGACACAGAUGGCAACCCUCUCAGACUUUUGGGUCUUCAAGGGCCACAAUCAACCAGGAGGCCCCAGCACCACCUUGGCCAUCAUACCAAGUACUAUGUAAGAUCUCCAAGCCCAGGCAUGGGAGAGAGGAAAGGAAACAACUCCAUUCCAUCCCUGUGGCUGGGGCAUGGGGUACUCAAACAAGCACCACUUGUGAUCCAACCAAGAGUUGUUGGGCACCAUUGUCUUGAGAGAGAACAGGAUAGAAAGAGGGAGGGGGGAUGGUUUGUGUGCUCAGAAGUGAUGCAGGUCUGGACAGUUGAGGGUGGUGAAGACCUGGCCACCAGAGUCCAGGGAGAUGUCUGGGUCGAGACUAUGACUAAGACCUAAGUCUUGAACUGUGGUUCUGGAGCAGGCGAGGGGGCCUGCGUUGAUGUCUGUGGCUCCUGUCAUCGCUAGGGCCUGUUUAUGGGUCUGUGGUAUGGGCUGCCACCUGGGCCUACGUUUGUGCCUGAGAGCCCUGCACUGCUGUGGGAGCCAUUCCAAUCUGGGUGGCCUGCACAGCCACCUGGGGGCCAUGGUGACAAUCUGGUCUGGACUCAUGCCUGGACCAUGUCUGGGUCUGGGGUCUUUGUUGAUUUCCCUGGCCCAUGUUGCCACGAGGACCCACAUAGAUGCCUGGGGUCUGAUUCACAACUUGUAAUCAACUGUGUUGAAUGCCAGAGCCAGGCCAAUUUGGGUGACCAAGGCUAUCGGCUAGGAACAUAGUUUAGUCCAGAUCAGGGCUGAGGCCAAAGGCUAUGUCUGGGUCUGUUGUCCUGCCACAUCCAGGAUCUGUUUUGAUGUCUGUGGCUGCUGAGAUCAUCAAAGAUCAUGCCAAGAGUCUAGACAGCCACCUGGGGCUGUAUAUGUGUCUGAGGGGCUCGCUGCUGUGGGGAACAUGUUGGUUCAGGUAGCCUAUUCCAUCACCUGGGACCGUGGUGACAUCCAAGUCCAGGUUGAUGCCUAGGACCAUGUCUGGAUCCAUGGUCCUACCACACUCAGGGCCUGUGGCCCAUGUUGCCAACAAAGGCAACAUAGAUGCCUGGGGUCUGUGCCACAAACUGUGGCCAUUGAGGACAAGGCUGCUACCAGGGACAUCCUAAUCUCAGUGGCCUGCACUGUCACCCUGAGCCACAGUGUUACCUGGGCCAGAGCUACUCUGGAGGGAGGCCAGGGUGUGAGAUGAAGUCUAGAGCUCUUCUUGUCACCAAGGACAACGUGGAGAACCAGGGUCUGGUUGGCCACCUCAGAUAAUGUUGGUGUCUGAAGACCUGGCUGCAGGCAGGGCUAUGCAGAUCUGCAUGGCUGGUGCUGCCACCUGGAGCCAGGGAGACAUCCUAGCGUAACGAACUACUGCCUAGGGUUAUGUCCAGAUUCAUGGUCCUUCUGUAGCUGGGGACCCUGGUGAUGUACAUGCCUGCAUUAGUAUGGGCAGUAGGUUAUCAGAACCAUGCUGUGCUGAACCUGCAUGGCCUAGAAUGGUCUGUCCUUCCCCUCACUGGAUAUUGCCAUAGGGUCAGACAAGCUGCUCUAUCCCUCAGGGGAGAAUUUGUCCUGGCACUCAAGAAAGAUAGUUCUACCAUUCAUAUCAUAGGUGUGCACCUGACCUGGGAAACACACUAGAGCUGACCGUUUGGUCAGAAACCAGGUGAGCUGACCCUGAGGACAUGAGAACAGAAGAUCUAACACCAGUCCCCUCAUCUGUCAUAGGGUGGUAUGGGUGAGGGAAAGAUGACCUCCCCUCUCCCUAUUGCCUCCUAUAGCAGGUGAAAGAGCCCUGAGAUCACAAGAGUAGGAGAGCUAGACCUGACCCUCACUGGUUAUAGCACAUGAGAAAGCAGCAUCUGGUUCCCAUCUGGGCAGCACACUAGAGCUGACCUUGUUGUCAGGGAUGAGGGAAGCCAGUCCUGAGGGUAUGAGAGCAACAGAGCUGACCCCUUCCUCGUCUGCCAUAUGGUGGCAUGGGUAAGGGAAAGAUUGCACCUCUUUACCUAUAGCAAAUGAGAGAGCUAGCCUCAGGGUCGCAAAAGUGAAAGAACUAGCCCUGCCCCACACCAGCUGAAGCACACAGGCAAGAGGGCGCUGCACUCUGUCUGGGCAGCAUACUAGGUCUAAACCUGUUGCGGUUGCAGGUGAGCCAGCCAUGAAGGUGUGAGAGUAGAAAAGAUGAGCCUAUUUUUUUGUUGCUGUUGUUAAUGUUGCUUGUUUUUUUCUUAUGCCCCCUGCAUCAGUCAGGAGAGAGAGCCUUGUAACUUGCCUCAGAAAAACAGUAGAGCUGGCUCUGCUGAUAUGAGUGAGGGGACCCAGAUCUGAAGGCCCAAGAGCAGGAGAGCUGGCCCCAUUCCUUGCUGUCCAGAACCAGAACUGGCCCACCCCAGCAUUCACGGAAUCUAUGAACUGUUGGAGCAUGUGAAGAACAACCUACAGAUCCAAAACAUCAGGAUCUCCAUGACACAGGACAACAGGGUAUCCAGAAGGAGCACCAUUGGAAGCCCGUAUUUGGCAGUGUAACAGAAACCAAAGGCCUUGAGCAAGAUCAAUAACUCAUGGCAAUGAACACUUGAACACUUGCAACUAAACUUGAAUGGACUGUGAGUCUCAACAGGCUAUACUGUAGCUUCCAUAGAAAACGUUGUAAGUGAUUUCAAGUAAAUUCUCAAUCAACAAUUAAAAGUGAAGCCUGACCUGAAACACCUGCAGUACAGAACGGCAUGAUAUGAAGUGCUCUGAAACAGAUGUGAAAAGAGAUAUUUAGUUCAAUUCUAAGGACACUUAUUUAGCUACCUCUGUAAAGAGGAAAUAUAUGGAUAUUAAUCCAACUUAGUUGACAACGUUACAAUUCUUGCUCUUCUAUAAAUUAUGUAUAGAAAAAUCCACAAUUUCACAAAUAAGACUACAAAGUUAUAAAGUCCUAUGAUAUGUGAUGUUUCAUGAAAAUUCUUUCAUGUAUUUGGAUCUUUCUUAACGUCCUUUUGAAAUUAAACUUUGUAUAAA